CGGGUGAGUAACACGUGAGUGACCUGCCUUUUAGACUGGAACAACUUACCGAAAGGUGAGCUAAUGCCGGAUGAGUUAUAUAAGUGCAUGUUUAUAUAGGAAAAGUUGGGGAGACCUGACGCUGAAAGAUGGACUCGCGUUCCAUUAGCUAGUUGGUAGGGUAAUGGCCUACCAAGGCGACGAUGGGUAGCCGGCCUGAGAGGGUGGCCGGCCACACUGGGACUGAGACACGGCCCAGACUCCUACGGGAGGCAGCAG
rnacentral:rRNA from 1 species